rnacentral:rRNA from 1 species
CGUUCAAGUUUCUGCCCUAUCAGCUUUCGAUGGUAGUGUAUUGGACUACCAUGGCGAUCACGGGUAACGGGGAAUUAGGGUUCGAUUCCGGAGAGGGAGCCUGAGAAAUGGCUACCACAUCUAAGGAAGGCAGCAGGCGCGUAAAUUACCCAAUCCUAAUUCAGGGAGGUAGUGACAAGAAAUAACAACUCGGACCUCACACGAGGUUACGAGAUUGCAAUGAGAACAAUUUAAACCUCUUAUCGAGUAACAAUUGGAGGGCAAGUCUGGUGCCAGCAGCCGCGGUAAUUCCAGCUCCAAUAGCGUAUAUUAAAGUUGUUGCAGUUAAAAAGCUCGUAGUUGAAAAUCUGGCCGGUGCUGUUCUCGGCUCCCUGAGUCGGCUCAGCGCCUGGUCAUCCGUACGGGAAACUAGCUCGACCUUCACUGGUCGGCUAGUGGAUCGUACACUUUACUUUGAAAAAAUUAGAGUGUUUCAGGCAGGCAAUUGCUUGGAUAUUGUAGCAUGGAAUAAUGGAAUAGGACUUUGACCUAUUUGUUGGUUUCUCGAGGUCAAAGUAAUGAUUAAUAGGGACAGUUGGGGGCAUUCGUAUUUAAUUGUCAGAGGUGAAAUUCUUGGAUUUUUUAAAGACGAACUUAUGCGAAAGCAUUUGCCAAGGAUGUUUUCAUUAAUCAAGAACGGAAGUUAGGGGAUCAAAGACGAUCAGAUACCGUCCUAGUCUUAACCAUAAACUAUACCGA